CUCUACAGUUACAGAAAUGCACUUUAUAUUUCAGCUUAUAGAAUUUUGACACCAACCCUUUUGAGUAGGUAUUCCCCGUCUUACAGAUGGAGAAACUAAGGCACAUAGAAGUUAAGGAAACUACCAAAGAUCACCCAGCAUUAAAUGGCAGAACAGGGAGGUGGCCCAAGAGCAGUUGUGGCUCCAGAGGAUGAGUUAACUACUGUGUCACUGCCCCUCCAAAAUGAAUGUCAAAAGCCUUAAUUUAAGGCCUUUGUGACAGGUGAGGCCCCAGACAAAUGUGCUUCUCUGCUCUCCCCUCCCUGUGAUUGACCCUGAGUCCUGGGAGACGCCCGUGAUAGUGAGGCCCCCCUAAGUUGCUGAGGGAAGGAGAAGUGAGCAGGGUGUGGGCGAGCAGAGCGGUUUUCCUGGGCAGGAACAGAUGUUCUGACAUCUGAUGCCCCACUGCAGAAGCCUGGGGAGGGCCCCUCUUCCCGGCUGGCCCUGUCCCUGCCCCCUGGGGUUGUCACAAGACCUGAGCCAACAGGCCAGGUCCUGCUGUCCAUCCACAGGAAAGCCAGCUUCCUGGAAGCCACCCUGCCGGCCCCUCCCAGGCAGCCCAGUUCCUGGAAGUUAAAAGAGCUGGCUGCGGUGUGAGGGGUGCGGGGCGCUGGGCCUCAGCACCUUUCUUUGGCUUUUGCCACCUGCAGGAGGGGAGAAGACAAGGGCUCGAUGUCGCUGGCAGAUGGGACUUGAGUGUCCCUUUCCACCUUACCUGGGUCAAGUUACCUGACUUCUCAGGAGUCUCAGUUUCCCCAUAUAUAAAAUGAGAUACUCAAAGAUCCUGAAGGGCUAGCCAUAGCAUUGAGAGCAACUGGGUCCCCACAGCCUGGUACCCUAAAGCACUCAGAAACAAGGUAGCCAUGGCGACUAUUAUUAGACUAUCAUCAUCCUGCUGCCCUCCUUCUCCUGGGGCACAGAGGCGCUGAGAGAUGGGCUGGAGGCCCUGGAUGUCCUGGCCCAGUUAUUAAUACCCCCCGGCCCCUCCAACUUUGGAUUUAGCAUUCCAAUGACGAGGGGCAGAGGCCGGAGGGCAAGGCUGGGAACAGGAGGCAGGGCUGGACAGGAGCCACCGGCCUCCCUCUGGGUGGGAGCAGUCCUCCCCAGCCUUAACAGAGACCUGGCUCCUCUCCCAGACACCCUCCACCUGCACUCUAGGGCCCCAGAAGGUGUGAAAUUCCUGUCUGAAGUCAGGCUGGGGCAGCCAUCAUCUUAGUCCCCUAAGGACACAGCACUGUCCUUCCAGGGAUGGGAGGCCCAAGAGACCAGGAUCCGCUGGGCAACAGAGGGGACGAAUUCACUCGUGGAAUUGUGGACUGUCCAAGUUAGACAGGGCUCAGGGAACCCCAACUUGCCAGAAGUGGUUUUGAACUCGACUCUGGACUCAGACCAGAGUGACCAGAAAACCUGUGUGUCCUCCAGCCUCCAUUUGCUGGGCCAUUAACCAGGGAGGGUAAUGACUCAGAAUGCUCCCGCGGAAUGGCACCGCCUUCCGAACAUCCUGAGCCCAAUCCCCACGUACUGAAAAAAAAUAAGUCAUAUGAUUAUUUUUAUUUGGCUGUUGAAAGAGCACGUGAGAUAACAUAAAGUAGGAAAUUAGUGAGCAGUGUCUAGCAAAUAGUGGGUAUUGGUAUCCAACCUGUCUAGUCAUGGGUGACUUCUUUAUGUUUCUGCCACAUGAGUGGUGGCAGACCUUGAGGAACAAAGCCCUCCCUGGAACUUCCCACUCCGCCACCUGAACUAACAGUUACACUGCACAAUGCUUCUUUGUUUUUUUCUUGUAUCAGUAUUUUAAAAAUUAAUAGCCCUUAGUUAUUUUUAAUAUUAAAUAUCGUUUACUGAAGACCCAUUAUAAAAAGAAUACCUUGCCAGGCAUGGUCACACUUGCAUAUAAUUACAGUGACUCUGGAGGCUGAGGAAGGAGGACUGCAAUUGGAGGUUAGCCUUAGCAAUUUAGCGAGGCUCCAAACAACUUAGGGAGACCCUGUCUCAAAGUAAAAAACAACAAGGGCUGGGUGCAGUGACAUACACCUGUAAUUCCAGCAGCUCAGGAGACUGAGGCAGGAGGAUGGCGAGUUCAAAGCCGGCCUCAGCAACUUAAGGCCCUAAGUAACUCAGGGAGACCCUAUCUCUAAAUAAAAUAUAAGAAUGGGUUUUGGGGAUGUGCCUAAAUAGUAGAGCACCCCUGGGUUCAAUCCCCAGUACCAAAAAAAAAAAAAAAAAACCAAACCCCCAAACUACCCUCUGAGUAUCAUCUCAUUAAAACUUCACAACUUCCCCAUGGCAUAGUAAUUAUUGUUCCACUUUACAGCCAAGGAAAGCAAGCAAAAGAAUCCAUCUGAAGUCCAUCACUGCAGUAGGCUCCUCCCGAGAACACGCGGGAACCGAGGUGGGCAUAUCACACACUUGCUGUGCAGUGGCCUCCUUUGCUCAUGAACCUCCCGCUGGGCAGAGCUUGGUAGGGGCACUUCAUCUCUGUUCCUGGUGGAGUCCGCCAGGGCAGCUGGGUGGCCGAGGUCUGGAGCCUCCUGAGAGCCCAUUCAUCCAUGUGACCAGUGGUUAGUGCUGGCUGUUGCCUGGAAUCUGUGGAAUUGUCAACUGGAAUACCUCCCUGUGGCCCCUCUGUGUGACCACCACCUAGGCCUUGGGUCUUAGGUCUUAGCUUAUCUGACUUUUUUUCUCCAACCUUCAGACUAUCUUUUUUUAAAUUUUUUUGGCACAGGGGAUUGAUCCAGAGGCACUUUACCACCAAGCCACGUCCUCAACCCUUUUUAAAAAUUUGGUAUAGGAUCUUGCUGAGUUGCUUAGGGCCUUGCUAAGUUGCUAAGACUGGCCUGUCUCAGCCUCCUGAGCUGCUGGGAUUAGAGGUGCCCAGCUAUCUUUUGCAUUUUUGUUUUUGCUUUUCUUUUUUGUACUGGGGAUUGAACCCAGGGUGGCUUAAAUACUGAACCACAUCCACAGCCUAUUUUAUUUUAUUAUAUUUUUUGGUAUCAGGGAUUGAACCCAGAAGUGCUCAACCACUGAGCCACAUCUGCAGCCCUUUUUUAUAUUUUAUUUAGAGUGAGGUCCUCACUGAGUUGCUUAGUGCCUCACUAAGUUACUGAGGCUGGCUUUGAACUUGCAGUCCUCCUGUCUCAGGCUCCUAAGCUGCCGGAAUUAUAGGUGUGUGCCAUUGUACUCAGCCCCUUUUUAUUUUUUUAUUUUGAGACAGGGUCUCAGUAAGUUGCUUAGUGUCUCACUAAGUUGCUGAGGCUGGCUUUGAAUCUGUGAUCUUCCUGCCUCGGGCUCUCAAGCUGCUGGGGCUAUAGGCAUAGGCCACCGUGCCUGGCUAUCAUUUGCUUUUAUCUUUUUAUUUUUAUUUUUUCAAAUUUAUUUUUUAGUUUUAGGUGGACACAAUAUCUUUAUUUUACAUUUAUAUGGUGCUGAGGAUCAAACCCAGUGCCUUGUGCAUGCUAGGUGAGUGCUCUACCACUGAGCCACAACCCCAGCCCUGCUUUUUAAUUUACCUUUUCCCAGGUUUUAGUUUUUUUAGUUUUUUUUUUUAAUAUUUAUUUUUAGUUUUAUGUAGUGCUGAGGAUGGAACCCAGGGCCUUGCAUGUGCUAGGCGAGUGCUCUACCACUGAGCCACAACCCCAGCCCCCAGGUUUUAGUUUUUUAAACAAUAUUUUAGAAUGGCUGCAUAAUGCUCUGUUCCCAAGCAUGCCCAGCUCAUCACCACUCUGUCUGGACUGUUCUCCCCAGGAUGCCCGCAGGGCAUCGCUCAGGUCUCAGAUCAGCUGUUGCUUCCCUUGAGAGCAAGUCUCUCUUCAUCUCAUUACAAUGUCUGCUUUUCUUGAUAAUAUUUGUUACAUCAGAAAUUAUCUUUAUUUCCUUUUUUUUGGGUGGGGAGGUACUGGAGAUUGAACUCAGGGGUGCUCAACCACUGACCCACAUCCCUUUUUUGUAUCUUACUUAGAGACAGGGUCUCACUGAGUUGCUUAGUGCCUCACCAUUGCUGAGGCUGGCUUUGAACUCACGAUUCUCUUGCCUCAGCCUCCCAAGCUGCUGGGAUUAAAGGUAUGUGCCACCAAGCCCAGCUCUUUAUUGCUUUUUAAAUGUUUUAUCCCACCAGAACAUAAUCUCCAUGAAGAAAACAGGAACUCUUCUGCUUGCUCUUUAUUUCCAGUGCCUAGAACAGUGCCUGGCACAUAG
rnacentral:lncRNA from 1 species